AAGAGACCACAGAGACGUCCCUCACCCCUUCAGCUAUGUGAGGGCACAGCAAGAAAACAGCCUUCUCUUAACGAGGAAGUGGGCCCUCACCAGACACCUAAUCUGCUGGCAUCUUGAUCUUGGAUUUCCCAGCCUUCAGAACUUAUCUUAGGAAGAAGGAACUCACAACCAGGUGGUGAUCUGCAACUGAAAUCUCAAAGGAAGAGGACCAAUUGCACUGACGGGGGCUGAGAAGAAGCUCCUCUAGGAUGUGAUGUUUUGACCUCGUGAUCAGGGAUUGUCCAGAGCCCCCUUGAGGUCAGCUGAGGGAUCUGCUCAUCACAGUCAUCAAAGACUCAAGCUGAGAGAGCCUCAAUCUCAAAUCAUUUCCUUGAUUGUUGAAUCAAGAGAGAGGAAAAAACCUAACCACUCACUGACCCUUAAAGUUUCCACCCAGAAGUGACCUAUGUCAGUUCUACUCAUUUUCCAUUAAGCAAAGCAAGUCACAUGGCCAGGCUUAACUUCAAAGGGGUGGAGGAAGUGCAAUUUUACCAUGUGCCUGAAGGAGGAAAGCCAGAAAUAAGUGGUAAAUAGCAUUUAUGACUACCACGGGGUCUUAUUGAAAUAUGGGCCCUGAUUCAUCAACGUGUGGCAUAGUCAGAAUCCCAGUGCAGACAUAAUUUUUCUCUAUCUCUUGUCUUUUUCUGAGAAAUUCUACUGUUCCAGAAGGCUGCGUACUUGGUCAGUAUCCCAGGUGCCUUAGAGGCAGAUAAAUUGGCUUGUGUGCCUGCCAAGCUCACUGAAAGAGCUUGUGAUAAUAUUCUGGGGUUAGCUAGUAGAAGGUGGAUUUUGUGGACUUCUCACCAGGCUAGUUUGAGAAUCUAUAGGAAACGUCAGGGUAGAAAUGAGGAGUGAAGACCAUCAAUCACAUAGAAUGGCUAUUCCUAUCUACCACCACACUAACCUCCAUGAGAAUGGUCAUAUGAGUGAUAAGCCCUCCUGGAUUUGUGAUGCAGCUUUAUAAUGUCAGGACUUUUACAGUUUGGGGGCAAAGCUGAAGGAUUUUUAGCCUGACAAGAGAGGACAGAACAUUGGCUUUUCUAUGUGCAUGGUCAGGAAACCUUCCCCUGCAUGGCAGUUAUGCUGGGUUCCUGGAAGAAUUGAAGAGGGGAUGUACUAAUCCCUACCAAAGGUGACCUGCCGCUAAGAGCCAAGGUAGAGCCAGUUGGCCUCUAUGCCUUGGAAUUCCACAGUCUUGCCCAAGCCCUAUCUGAAAUGAUACCACUUACUCGGUGAACACUUUUGGAAGGUUUUUACCAGGCUCCUACACAACGAGUUGUCUUAGGUGUUGGAAGUGGGAAAUCUCAUCAAAUGGGUGCCCAGUGGAUAGGGCUAGAAUGUGAACAGGAGGCUACAACUGUUUUCCAGCAUAGCUAGGACUGUUACUUGGGCCCUUCCUACAGCUAAAAAGAGUGCAUGUGUUUGGGUGAUCCUACCAUCUACUCACAGCCAAGCAUACAUAUUAGGAUAGGAAUCAUCAAAUCUGAAUUGAAUCCCUUGGGACUGCUCUUUCCUCCAUCCCACCUUCAUGACCGCUCCAUUUUCAUAUUCAAGGCUUGCUUGUCAAUCCAGGCCAUAGUAUAUUCCAGAAUGGCAUGCAAUUUUAUCCAUGGGGAUCUAGUCCAGCAGAACUUACUGAUUCCCUGCCCCAAAUUUGUUAUAUUAUGAAUGGAUACCUUCUUUGGGAAACAUAGCAAAGAGGUUAAGAGCUCAAGCUCUGAGAUCAGCUUGCAUGUAUUUGAUUUUGGGCUCAGUCACUUACUAGCUGGUAACCUUGGACAAAUUGCCGAACCCUUCUGAGUUUUGGUUUCCUUAGCUGUGAAAUGAGGAUAAUAAUAAGAGCCUCUCAGGAUUGCUGUGAUGAUUAAGUGAGAUAAUGAAUAUAAAGCGCUUAGUAUAGUGUCUAGCAUACAAUAAGUGCUCAAUAAGAGGUAAUCAUCAUUACCAUCAUCACCAUCAUGAGCCCUGCUAAGAGGCCUGUUCAUGUGAACUCCUUCUCAGAGGCCCUGAGUAGGACUAUGAUAAGUUGCUGAAUUUUGUGGUCACUCAUUCCCUGUUUUCCCCACCGUAGAGCAGUGGCUUUCACCUUGAUCUGCUGCUGUCAGCACUUAGUGUGGGCCUUUCAGGCAGCUGUUCAGCCCACUCUGCCGGUAGCUGAGAUGAUGGCCAACUAUGUGGCUUCUGGGAGAUAUCCUUGGAGCAUAAUCUCAGGAAACUCCCUCCUCUCAGGUCUGAGAGGGACAGGGUGAUUUUCUCAUUUCCAGGGCCUGGGUCUAUAUGAAAUAGGAAUACUCUGUGCCAGGGCCAGAGGCAUGCAUGUUCUGAAUUAUUGACAGAAAUCUCUGGGGAAAAUGGAGGCUUUACCUACCCUUCAAAAUAGUAAGCUAAGACUACUCUAGGACAACCAAGGCCUAGAAAUCAUGACCAUGCAAGACUUACCACACAAUUGUUCAUCCCUUUUCUGCUGGCUAAGCUCAGAAGGGCCUGGGUAUUCAGGAAGCUGAAGGUCUCAGGAGACAUGCACCUUCAUCUGUAACGCAAAAUGGGCAGACAAGUAGAGGAACAUUUGCCAGUGUCUCAUCCUGACUAAUGGGGUUCCUGGUAUCAGCCAGCCCCACCUCCACCCAUACUUCAAACUACAUAGCUGGAACUGGCCUCUGAUACACCUGAAUGAUUUGCAGCCUACGCCCUGAACCACUUUCAUUGACCGAGCACUUGUACUGCUUCCCAACCUGUUGUUGAUUUUCGGAGCAUCAGACUUGUGAUUUGUUUCACAUCCUCCUCCCAUCUCCCAUGUUAUUUUAUGGUCUAGUCCAAUUCCCAUAUAAAAUCUUACAUUCAACCCCACCUCUCUAGUCUGUACUUUUCCUUUCCCUCUUUGACCACAGUUCGGACUUUCUGUGGCUACAGUGCUGUCAGCUGGUCUGGCAAGCAGUGAUCCUGGGGGCUCAAUCCUGGCUCAGGCCUUCAGAAGCAGUGAUCUCCGCAAGUUUGCAGCAGCCUCACAAGUAGGUAGGACCCCAGCCCACCAGGUCAGGUAUCAUAUGUUGGCCAUCCUAGCGGUGCUAGGAGUGUUCUACCAUGUCAUGACCAGUAUCCCACAUGUACUUCGAAACUAUGAGGUUGAGAUAUAUUUGGGCAUCAUACUUAUUUAUACCUCAGCCCAGACGGUUUGGACGAUCUGCAGAGCAACCAUCCUUGGCCACCUCAGAGUACAGUUCCCUGGGACCAUUCUCUUUCUUCAAAGUAUGUGGAUAAUUCUGACAAAGGUGAUUGUGGUCUUGGAGCAGGAGCUCCCUUAGAACCUUGUAAUUAAAAGGUUUCAUAGCUUCAUGAGCUACUGUUACCUCCUAUCUAGAGUAGCCUGAUUUUUCUCCAUCUACAGUGGUACCCCUGAUCCAAACCACCAUCAUCUGUCUCCUGGACCAUUGCAGCAGCCUAACUGAUUUCUUUACUGCCAACUUUGAGCACCUAUAAUCUGUUCUCCAUAAGUAGCCAGAAUCAUCUUUUAAAUACAAAUCAUACCACACCACUCCCAUGUAUAAAUCCCUCCAAUGUUUGUGAUUAUAUUAAAAAAUAAGGAGUUAUCUUUUGGAGCUGUGUAUAAAAUAUUUGUGGAUGAAAGGACAUGACAUCUGGAUUCUGUUUAAUAAUUCAGUGUAUAUGGGAGGAUCAGAGGGUACAGAUGAAAUAAGAUUGGUCUUACAUUAAUUCUUGAAGCUGGGUGAUAGGUACAUGGAAGUUCAUUAUAUGAUUCUCUCUAAUUUGUGUACCUUUGAAAAUUUCCAUCAUUAAAAGCAAAACC
rnacentral:lncRNA from 1 species